GACGAACGCUGGCGGCGUGCUUAACACAUGCAAGUCGAACGGAAAGGCCCUGCUUUUGGGGGGUGCUCGAGUGGCGAACGGGUGAGUAACACGUGAGCAACCUGCCCUUGACUUUGGGAUAACUUCAGGAAACUGGGGCUAAUACCGGAUAGGAGCUCCUGCUGCAUGGUGGGGGUUGGAAAGUUUCGGCGGUUGGGGAUGGACUCGCGGCUUAUCAGCUUGUUGGUGGGGUAGUGGCUUACCAAGGCUUUGACGGGUAGCCGGCCUGAGAGGGUGACCGGCCACAUUGGGACUGAGAUACGGCCCAGACUCCUACGGGAGGCAGCAGUGGGGAAUAUUGCACAAUGGGCGGAAGCCUGAUGCAGCAACGCCGCGUGCGGGAUGACGGCCUUCGGGUUGUAAACCGCUUUCGCCUGUGACGAAGCGUGAGUGACGGUAAUGGGUAAAGAAGCACCGGCUAACUACGUG
rnacentral:rRNA from 1 species